AAACUUUCAACAAUGGAUCUCUUGGCUCUGGCAUCGAUGAAGAACGCAGCGAAAUGCGAUAAGUAGUGUGAAUUGCAGAAUUCAGUGAAUCAUCGAAUCUUUGAACGCACAUUGCGCCCUUUGGUAUUCC
rnacentral:rRNA from 1 species